AGGAAGUGAGGCGAUCAUGUUAAUUGAGGGUUCUGGUUAGUAUAUAGCCCUGUCUGUCUCCUCAACUCACCACAUCCACUUAAUCCCGCUCUUAUUGUCUCAACAUCCAGUGGGAUAGUAGUGCCUGGCGUUCCAAACUACUACUGUACACAGUACACGGACCAUUGGCAGAGUUGGGUUUACAGCUAAAAACAUCUGAUUCUGGUGGAACUGGUGAAAAGAAUGAAGAUUACAAUAGUGAUUUUUUGCUUGGUUGGGGCGGUUUAUGCCAACCCAAUUCUGUACAAAGUUAUUUUGAAGCAGAGCGAACUGGAAUCAUCAAACAUGACUCAAACGCAAAGGUUAAGUUCAUCCGCCUCACAAUCUCCGGAUCAAAGUGACACUUCAGAGCUCGAGAGCUCUGAAGAAAGUACCUCAGAGGACCAAAGUUCAGAGUCUGAGUCCGAAUCAUUGGAAUCCAAUUCAGAGUCUUCCGAGAGCCAUUCUUUGGAGAGUGAGAGCCAAUCACUGGAGGACAGGGUAAAGAGCCUCAGAUACUGACUCCAAUGCUAUUGGGGAUACAAGAGACAACAGCCAAGGCAGUGAAGAAAACGUUCGAAAGAAUUGGAUCCGAGUGUUUGCCGUCCGAGUCUUGAGUGCAGAGAACAACAGCAGCUCUGAGGUCAAAGGGCAGCUGGACCUACCCACUAAUCAGGGGGCAGUGAAACACAGCAUACUCUCUCCCACCGCCUUGACAACCAACUACAGCCAGCCUGGCAAUACAGUUCAGAGCAAUGCAGCCUUGGCAUUGGUAGAGAGCUUCCUCAAAGCCUCUGGUUCUCUUAGUGAGACCAGUGUCAGCAUUGAUACCAGUGACGUCAGUGCUGUUACUGGUAACGUCAGUACUGUUACCAGAGACGUCAGUACUGUUAACUUUGACAUAAGAGACACAAGUAACAGCAAGGAUACCAGCGAUAGUAGCGAAAGCAGUGAAAGUAGCGAGAGCAGUGACACUAGUGAGACCAGUGAUAGCAGCAAUACCAGUGACAGUAAAGAGAGUGAUACCAGUGAGAGUGAGGAGAGACACCAGAGCCAAGCUACAGACUGCCAGCAGGGUGUCCACAGCACUGCCUGUGACAGUGAGGAGUAUUUCUUCCAAGAUAUAGGUGACGAUGGUCAUUAUCCAAUGGAUGAUUUGCUCAUGCCUGAAGAGGAGCAUAGGGAGUUGAGUUUACGGAGAUAAUGCUAACAUCCCCCAUUUGACUGUAUCAGGUUGGAUGCAUUUCAAAUGAAGCAAGGGGAGGGAGUACAGUGUAGAUCAAGCAAUAUAGUAUGACAUUGACUUCUAUGUUUUGUUUUGAUGUUGGCAUGAAAUAAAACUGAAAAUAAACUGUUCGGCCUACUGCUUAGAAAUAUAGGUUUAAGUGUUGUAGUAGAUGGUUUGAAGUCAUGGUUGCAAAUAUUUUUCCUAUUCAUUUGCUUUUUUCACUCAUUUUCAUGAAGAGUUGAAUUCCAAAACGCUAUAUAUCCAUUUUCAGAAAUGUUGGUAAAUGAUCUUUUAUUGUUUAUAGAAAUUAUGAUAGAGAUGGAUGUGUUUUUUCACUAUCUAAUUAUGGCAUGGGGUUGUUCAAUGACAGACAUGUAUUUGUUUAGAAUCUAUCACUUGAUGGUUUCAUUUCAGAGACAAAUAAUCAUGUUUUUUGGCAAAAUGCUGUCACACCCUGAUCUGUUUCACCUGUCUUUGUGCUUGUCUCCAACCCGCCCCAAGUGUCGCCCAUCUUCCACAUUAUCCCCAGUGUAUUUAUACCAGUAUUCUCUGUUUGUCUGUUGCCAGUUCGUUUUAUCCGUCAAGCCUACCAGCGGUUUUCCCCUUGCUCAUGUCUUUUUCUAUAGUUCCUGUUUUCUAGUUUUCCCGGUUUCGACCAUUCUGCCUGCACUGAGCCUGAGCCUGCCUGCCGUACUAUACCUUGUCACAACGCACUGGAUUAUUGACCUCUGCCUGCCUUGACCCUGAG
rnacentral:lncRNA from 1 species